rnacentral:tRNA from 1 species
GCCGCGAUAGCUCAGUUGGUAGAGCGUAUCACUCGUAAUGAUAAGGUCGUGGGUUCGAUCCCCAUUCGCGGCU